rnacentral:rRNA from 1 species
GAUGAACGCUGGCGGCGUGCCUAAUACAUGCAAGUCGAGCGAACAGAUAAGGAGCUUGCUCCUUUGACGUUAGCGGCGGACGGGUGAGUAACACGUGGGUAACCUACCUAUAAGACUGGAAUAACUCCGGGAAACCGGGGCUAAUGCCGGAUAAAAUUUAGAACCGCAUGGUUCUAAAGUGAAAGAUGGUUUUCAUAUCACUUAUAGAUGGACCCGCGCCGUAUUAGCUAGUUGGUAAGUGAACGGCUUACCAAGGAAACGAUACGUAGCCGACCUGAGAGGGUGAUCGGCCACACUGGAACUGAGACACGGUGCAGACUCCUACGGGAGGCAGCAGUAGGGAAUCUUCCGCAAUGGGCGAAAGCCUGACGGAGCAACGCCGCGUGAGUGAUGAAGGUCUUCGGAUCGUAAAACUCUGUUAUUAGGGAAGAACAAAUGUGUAAGUAACUGUGCACGUCUUGACGGUACCUAAUCAGAAAGCCACGGCUAACUACGUG